AUUGAACGCUGGCGGCAUGCUUUACACAUGCAAGUCGAACGGCAGCGCGGGCUUCGGCCUGGCGGCGAGUGGCGAACGGGUGAGUAAUACAUCGGAACGUGCCCGGUAGUGGGGGAUAGCUCGGCGAAAGCCGGAUUAAUACCGCAUACGACCUGAGGGUGAAAGCGGGGGAUCUUCGGACCUCGCGCUAUUGGAGCGGCCGAUGGCCGAUUAGCUAGUUGGUGGGGUAAAGGCCUACCAAGGCGGCGAUCUGUAGCUGGUCUGAGUGGACGACCAGCCACACUGGGAGUGAGCCACGGCCCAGACUCCUACGGGAGGCAGCAGUGGGGAAUGUUGGACAAUGGGCGAAAGCCUGAUCCAGCAAUGCCGCGUGUGUGAUGAAGGCCUUCGGGUUGUAAAGCACUUUUGGCGGGAACGAAAAGGACUGUGCCAAUACCACGGUUGGAUGACGGUACCCGCAGAAUAAGCACCGGCUAACUACGUG
rnacentral:rRNA from 1 species